rnacentral:rRNA from 1 species
CACGUAGGCGGUCUAUUAAGUCAAUGGUGAAAUCAUCGAGCUCAACUCGAUGGCUGCCUUUGAAACUGAUAGACUAGAGGUCGGGAGAGGAAAGCGGAAUUCCUGGUGUAGUGGUGAAAUGCGUAGAUAUCAGGAAGAACACCAAUGGCGAAGGCAGCUUUCUGGACCGACACUGACGCUAAGGUGCGAAAGCGUGGGGAGCAAACAGGAUUAGAUACCCUGGUAGUC